rnacentral:rRNA from 1 species
CGCUGGCGGCGUGCCUAAUACAUGCAAGUCGAACGCACUCUCGUUUAGAUUGAAGGAGCUUGCUCCUGAUUGAUAACAUUUGAGUGAGUGGCGGACGGGUGAGUAACACGUGGGUAACCUGCCCUAAAGUGGGGGAUAACAUUUGGAAACAGAUGCUAAUACCGCAUAAAACCUAACACCGCAUGGUGUAGGGUUGAAAGAUGGUUUCGGCUAUCACUUUAGGAUGGACCCGCGGUGCAUUAGUUAGUUGGUGAGGUAAAGGCUCACCAAGACCGUGAUGCAUAGCCGACCUGAGAGGGUAAUCGGCCACACUGGGACUGAGACACGGCCCAGACUCCUACGGAGGCAGCAGUAGGGAAUCUUCCACAAUGGACGAAAGUCUGAUGGAGCAACGCCGCGUGAGUGAAGAAGGUUUCGGAUCGUAAAACUCUGUUGUUGGAGAAGAAUGUAUCUGAUAGUAACUGAUCAGGUAGUGACGGUAUCCAACCAGAAAGCCACGGCUAACUACGUG